AGGAAGAUCAAUCCCGCAGCUUGGGUGAGCAGUAAUCCUAGAGAGCAGCUGCAGGCUGCUCUGCUCUCCGGGUCUUCGCUUAAUUCCUGGCAGCCGCAGGAAGAAUGGAGUCAUUUGUUUUCAUUCAGAGAAAUGAAUGCUAUGUGAAGCCUGAAGAGUAAUAACACAGCAAAAUGACAACGGAAGAGCGAGAGAGAAAUCUGAAAGAUACAAUGGCAGAGUCAUGCUGAGAUUUCCACCUCUCUGCUCUCUCUGGCAAUGAGCUCUGCAGGCUAAUGAGGCUCCAUGGACAUCAGCUGGAAGAAAACACCUUUCAGGUUUUCUCCCUCACCACUUCUUGGGAAGAUCUCUCUCAUUCAACUGAAGCAAAAAAGGGGCACGACUGAAUAUUUUAAUUAUUUUCCACCACUCUCCCAAACCAUCACUUGCCCUUUUAAGGGGGCUUUUCAUCCCAACCUCCUCCCAAGUCUCCGAUCACCAGCAGUUACUUCUUUCCCACUCCUCUUUCCAUCCGGAUGCAACUCUCCAGAUGCAAGAGCUGUCUUUGCCUCAUGAAGUUGCUCAGCACUUCAGCCAGAGCCUUUGAAUAAGAUGACCCCAUGUUCUGUCUGUAAACCCCGGUCAUUUUGUAAAGCUACUGGCACCGAUGUCUGCAUUAGGGCCCUUGAAUUAAAUAGCUCAGCUCCAUCUAUUUGAAACCAUUUGACUUCUCACCCAAGCGACUUGGCAUCAUCCCUCCCCACCUCCUAACACCUUUUGUGCAAAU